GGUGAACCGCGAAUGGCUCAUUAAAUCAGCUAUGGUUCCUUGGAUCAUAAUGCUACUACACGGAUAACUGUAGUAAUUCUAGAGCUAAUACGUGCCUCGAUGCCCUGAUCCGUAAGGUGAGGGGUGCAUUUGUUAGAUCGCAAACCAAACGGUUUCGACCGUGGCUUGUGAUGACUCUGGAUAAUUUCGUAUGAUCGCAGCUGGCCUUGUUGUCGGCGAUGGAUCCAUCAAAUAUCUGCCCUAUCAACUUUCGAUGGUAGGUGACAUGCCUACCAUGGUGAUGACGGGUAACGGGGAAUCAGGGUUCGAUUCCGGAGAGGGAGCCUGAGAAACGGCUACCACAUCCAAGGAAGGCAGCAGGCGCGCAAAUUACCCACUCUCUGAUCGAGGAGGUAGUAAAGACAAAUAUCGAUACAGAACCUCGCAAGAGGCUCUGUAAUCGAAAUGAGUGCAUCUUAAAUCCCACAACGAGGAUCUAUUGGAGGGCAAGUCUGGUGCCAGCAGCCGCGGUAACUCCAGCUCCAAUAGCAUAUAUUAAAGUUGCUGCAGUUAAAAAGCUCGUAGUUGGAUCUGGGCUUCGCUGCGAUUGCCAUUCUUAGUUGGACUCGCUUCUGUGAGACUGACGGGAUGGUAUAUUCGAGCGUUGCUUCGUAGCUGUGUCCUUGUGCCUUUGCGGGUGCUUGGAUGGGGCUGGGUGUCUGGGAUGACCCCUUAAACGGGGGUUGUUUCGGCUCAGCUCUAUGUGCCGUGAUGUCCUUCACUGGGUGUCCGGGGCUCGCAGCACGUUUACUUUGAACAAAUUUGAGUGCUCAAAGCAGGCCGCUUGUUGCCUGAAAAUUCUUGCAUGGAAUAAUGAAAUAGGACUUUGGUCCUAUUUUGUUGGUUUGAUAGAACCAAAGUAAUGAUAAAGAGAGACAGACGGGGGCAUUUGUAUGGCGGCGCGAGAGGUGAAAUUCGUGGACCGUCGCCAGACAACCUAAAGCGAAAGCAUCUGCCAAGUAUGUUUUCAUUUACCAGGAGCGAAAGUCAGAGGUUCGAAGACGAUCAGAUUCCGUCCUAGUUAUGACCAUAAACGAUGCCAGCUGACGAUCCGUGGUAGUUCUUUACAUGAGCCCACGGGCAGUCUCCGGGAAACCCGUCA
rnacentral:rRNA from 1 species